AGACCGAUAGCGAACAAGUAGAGUGAUCGAAAGAUGAAAAGCACUUUGAAAAGAGAGUUAAAAAGUACGUGAAAUUGUUGAAAGGGAAGCGCUCAUGACCAGACUUGGGCUUGGUUGAUCAUCCAGGGUUCUCCCUGGUGCACUCUUCCAGCCCAGGCCAGCAUCAGUUCGCUGUGGGGGAUAAAGGCUUUGGGAAUGUGGCUCCUCCGGGAGUGUUAUAGCCCAUUGUGUAAUACCCUGUGGUGGACUGAGGUUCGCGCAUCUGCAAGGAUGCUGGCGUAAUGGUCAUCAGCGACCCGUCUUGAAACACGGACCAAG
rnacentral:rRNA from 1 species